GCAUGAUUAAUUAUUAAAGUAAAAAUAAAGGAGAAAGAAAUUAGUGGUGUGAAUCACAUACACCGUGCGGUGUGAUUGAGGAGGUGAGGGAGGGGACAUGCUUGGCCAGGUUUAGGUGUAGAGGCCAGUCACCAUCGCUCACUGGUUUCUCCGUAAAAAGCUAACAUAGCAACACAGACAAUCUCGAAACCCACCGACCACAGGUCACAUCAGCAGUAUGGGCAUUGGGCAAAUUAUCCUGUACGUGUGUGUCUUCAUUAUCAAUCACCUAACAACCAC
rnacentral:lncRNA from 1 species